GAUGAACGCUGGCGGCGUGCUUAACACAUGCAAGUCGAACGAAGCAUUUGCGACAGAUUUUUUCGGAAUGAAGUUGCUUAUGACUGAGUGGCGGACGGGUGAGUAACGCGUGGGUAACCUGCCUUGUACUGGGGGAUAGCAGCUGGAAACGGCUGGUAAUACCGCAUAAGCGCACAAUGUUGCAUGACAUGGUGUGAAAAACUCCGGUGGUAUAAGAUGGACCCGCGUCUGAUUAGCUAGUUGGUGAGAUAACAGCCCACCAAGGCGACGAUCAGUAGCCGACCUGAGAGGGUGACCGGCCACAUUGGGACUGAGACACGGCCCAGACUCCUACGGGAAGCAGCAGUGGGGAAUAUUGCACAAUGGAGGAAACUCUGAUGCAGCGACGCCGCGUGAGUGAAGAGGUAAUUCGUUAUGUAAAGCUCUAUCAGCAGGGAAGAUAGUGACGGUACCUGACUAAGAAGCUCCGGCUAAAUACGUG
rnacentral:rRNA from 1 species